rnacentral:lncRNA from 1 species
CUGGGAGAACACACAAGCUCUGCUGUCAGCCAUGUGGAAUGAAGCAUGCCGGGCCUCAUCUCGGACCUGCACACUGCCCCUCAUUAUGUUCAUGAUCGGGAAAUGGAUAAAGAGUGGCCAGAAGGUGAAAAAGAAGAGAUGGCCCCCUGAAAGGGACAUCCACAUUUAUUUGAGCACCUACCAGCAAAGUGCUGGGCACACAGAAGGACAACGUGAUGAAGCGCCAUCACAUGGCUGGUAGCCUGUGGUGAGUCACCGGACUUCUCGACUCCCACCUCACUAGGGUGGAAGGAACAGUAACCACAACGCUCUGCAACUCGGGCUGCGCCCGCAUGAUUGGAAACAAUCUGUGAAAUUGUGGAGUGAACAACCCCGAAGAAAUAGACUUCUAAUUCUAGCCUUUUGGAGAUUAUUAACCCAACUCCCAGAUUCUACAGAUGAGAAAAGGGAGGCCCAGGGAGGUGGAGAAACAUGUGUAGGAUCACAGAGAUGCCUUCAGCUCUCCAAAACAACAGAAAUGAUCAAAGAUGGAGGCAAGAAGACCAGAGAACCCUAAAUGUUUACUGUCUCCAGUGUGUUUGGAAACAGCUUGGACCAGUGUAGAGUGCUGGAACAGAGAGUCAAGAGCAUCAGGCGCGCCACCCAGAUAGCAUCUGAAAGAUUGUAAACAGGAUGAUUCACAAACUGGUGGCAGCAGCUAAAAGCAGUGCAGUUCGCGACCCUCAGCACACGCCAAGAUUCUAAAUGGGAUGUUGCGACAACAAAGCAGCCUGAAGAUUCUAAAACAUAAUGGUGUCACCAGGACAUUCACAGGGUGCUGUAACCUGUAACUGACAAGCAUACUCAUCAUCAUUUCUCCUUGGGCAUGCUGCAUCCUUGCGCUCCACUGGGCCUCCUGUUGCAUUGCUAUUUAUUUGCAUCUACAAGCAGGGGAGCAAGUAUGCUGCGGAAAUAGCCCCAGAGAGGUGUCUGAUUCCCAUAGGCCCUUGCAGCCAGCUACAACUGAAUGAUUUCCGAUAUCAGUUACUGAAAAUUCUGACCAUGAUAUGCAGACCAUGGCAGAUCUUAAUGACAAUAACAUCAUCUCACAUUUUGAUGGCGUUUAACAGUUUACAAAGUGCUUUCACAUACAUUAUCACAUUUAAUCCCAGUGAGGUCGAUAGUCUUCUUCUCCAUUUUAUUGGCAGCUUGGUGUAGUGGAAAGAGCUGUGGAAUCAGACAGACUUAAGUUCAGAUUCUGCCUCUGACUACCAAACCAUGGACAAUUUGCUUCAUUUCUCUCCCUUUUCUUACCUAUAGGAUGAGGAAUCAUUUCUAUUUCCGAGGUUUGUGGUGAAAAUUAAAUAACAUAUGUAAAGACAUACAAUAUAGGGCCCGAUGCAUAGAAGUACUCGAUAACCAUUAGUUUCUGUCCACUUACAGAGGAAGAAAAUGAAGCUUAAGAGGUUAAGGGAGUUGCUCAAAGUAAUAGCUAGUAAAUGGCAGAACUGAGACUUCAUUUAUUUUACAAAUAUUAUUGAACACCUACUAUAUGCUGGUGCCUUGGGCAUAGGAAAGUGGAUGAGUCAUAAUUCUAGUUUUUGAGAUGUUCACAGUAGAGCGGUGGAAUCUGAAAUGCAAAUAAUCAAUUAUAAUCGAGCGUAAUCUGAGAGGCAAAAAGUACUUAGGGAAUAUCCUAAAGCCAUGGGUGCACCCUAGAGUAUCUACACAAGAGAUAAGUCUGAGGAAGAGGAACCUUCCAGGAGGCAGCAGUAGAGUUACACCUGAAAUAAAAUGUUGGCAGGUGGAUGAGGGUGAGCAAGGAGAGGAGCAUUCAGGCGAAGACAACAGUGUGUGCAUUCAUCAGGAGGGUCAAAGGAGCCUGGCAUGUCCACUGCAGCACAGAAGAGAACCUGAGCAGACAGGAGAGAGAAGGGAGAGGAGGAGGCAAGGAAGCAGGAGUGAGAAGAAUGAAGGGGCUUGCAGGUAAUGCUGAGAAGCGUGCAUCUUUGUCAGUCCACACUGGCACAAACUCUGUGAUGAUUUACAGAGAGAGCCAACCUGGUCAGAUUUGCAUUUUUGAAAUUGUGGCAGCAAUGUGAAAGAUUGACUAGAGGAGGGGAUAAUGGAGGCAGUAGUUCAAUGAGAGAUAAUUAGGCUAUGAACUAAGAAAGUGGCAGAGCAGACAAUUUCAAGCGGUAUAGCAGAGGCAGAAUUGACAGGAUGUGGCCAUUAACUGGAUGUCAAGACAGGAGAGACAGAGAGAACUCUAGGAGGACUCCCAGGCUAUGAGCUUUGGUGGCUGGGCGAACGAAGAUGUCCCCCACUGACGUAGAAGGAGAGGACAUUUGAAGAGAUGAUAAUAAAUUCAUGUGGACAUGUUGACUCUGAGAGACUCAUGGAUAUCAAGAAGGAGGUGUUCAGUAGACAGCUAAAAAUAUGAGUCUGGAGUUUGGGAGAGGACUCACAAUUAGAUGCAUUGAUCUAGGGAUCAAUGGUUUUUAGACAAUGGUUGAAGCUGUUUUUUUAUGCCAAGAGGAUAGAGCAAGAAGAAAAGUGGGUCCUGGAGAACUCUAGGGAAUAUCAAUGUUUAGGUGCUAGAAUGAGGAUUGUUGGAGAGAUGGAACUACCAGGAGAAAGGGAGAGCUCAGAGGCCAGGGAAGGCAAGCAUUUUUUGAUGAUGAAAGUAGAGGAAAGUAUCAAAUUCCACCAAAGGAUCAAAGAAGAUGAGAACUGAGAUAUGCCUGGCAUUUGGGCAAUGAUAAGAUCACUUUGGCAACUUCAGUUUUAGACAAAGUGGUUAAAAAAGAGGCU